AGGACGAACGCUGGCGGCGUGCUUAACACAUGCAAGUCGAGCGGAAAGGCCCUUCGGGGUACUCGAGCGGCGAACGGGUGAGUAACACGUGAGCAACCUGCCCUGGACUUUGGGAUAACCCUCGGAAACGGGGCUAAUACCGAAUAUUACUGCUGAUCGCAUGGUUGGUGGUGGAAAGUUUUCGGUCUGGGAUGGGCUCGCGGACUAUCAGCUUGUUGGUGGGGUGAUGGCCUACCAAGGCGACGACGGUUA
rnacentral:rRNA from 1 species